rnacentral:lncRNA from 1 species
GGCAGGGGAUGAUUGAGAGCUGUGAUCAGCCAUUAAAGCUUGCUUGCUGGUCACUGAUCUGGACCUAUUCCUUAGCAUAUCUACCUCUUAUCAGAUUUAUAUCAGCCCCCAAAAAUUUUAAUAUGAAACGAAACCAAAAACAAAUGAAAGAAUCAGAUUAAUUAAGCAGAAGGAACACCAAACUAAAAGGACAGAGAUGGAAAGUCAGAAAAGGCAUGAGCUCACCUGGAAGGCUGGAAAUGAUUUGCGCCUGUCACAAAAAUCCACCUUCAGAUGUUGAAAACUCAAAAGUAGGUACCACGAAAAAAAAAAAAAAGUAAAACGGGUUCUCUGUUUUCUGCUAAAACUC